GCGCACGGCAUUGUGGGAAAACGAACCGAGGCUCGAAGAGGGACGCUGAGCAGUGUGUACGGCUGCGAUAUUAAAUUGUCUCCUCCCUGUGUCUGUCGGGUCUAAGUGUGUGGAGGUGUGGCUCAACUCCUGUCUCACCUGGUGCCUCUCAUCAUCCUGCACACUAAUCCAAGUACUACAAGGACCCCUGCUCUUCAUCCAUCUCACCUAUGCCCAUGCUGCUGCCGGCCUCUGGUGAGGAGCUGCCUCUGCCUGCCUGUCAGACAGUCUCUGGAUUCUCCUCACCUGGACUUAGCACUCUGCAUCCACAGUCCCUGUCCUAUUCUCUAGGUUUUCUGUUAAUUCAGCAUAGAUCACUUACUUUUCAACCAUCUCUCAUGUCAGAGUCUGAGUCUGCUUUGGGGUCCAGUAUUUAUUUUGUGCUAACAUGGGGUCCACAUAAAUAUAUUACAAUAGUUUAGUGACAAAAAGUACACAUUACAUUUAACAUCUGUACUCACAUGUUAUGCCUCAGACAAAAAACAUGACUCAAACCCUGUCUAAUACAUAAAAAAGCUCUACAUAAUAGUAUCACCUCUUGGAGAACUGAAAAUAAAUAAGCAAG